CAAGGCGGGAGUUUGGAGGUGUUGAGGGAAAUGCAGGCGUUUGAGUGUUCUCAGUCUCAAAUGUCAAUAAGGAAGAUCUGUGCUUGGAGCAGGCAGCACUGGGCUCUUUGCAAGUUGCUGUAUGCACUGCGAGCUGCCUCCUUUGCCUCCACUGCUGGCUGCAGUACCUCUGCCUCUGCCUCUGCUUCGGGCCAAGGGUUCCAGGACAGACAGAAACAGAGUCUGUGAAACAUCCUGAGCUGAGGUGAUGAAGAAGGAGUCCAGAGAAAUGUUUGGGUGGAGCUCGUCGGCUAAAGCAAAGAGGAUGGACAUCAGAAGAAAAAGAAAAUAGGAAACAACCUCGGAACCUACUACAGAGGGCCUCUGAAAGCCAGAAGAAAACAGGAAACAACCUUGAAACCUGCCACAGAGGGCCUCUGAAAGCUUCUGCAGUAUAGACUGUCAAAGCAGAUGCUGAGCCUGAUGGCCAACUGAUGGGCAGAGUGAAUGGAAUUUUAUGUAAGAAGUGGGAAAUAGUAAGAGCUGGAGGGGACAGGAACUCCACAAGGAGAGCAACAGAACAAGAUAAUUUGAACACAGGGAACUUCCCAGAAAAUCAUACUCCAACCAAGGACUA